UUAUGUACAUACUUGCAACAUAGUGUUAAUGCACUGGAUCCCAUUAGAACUUUGCAUUUAAGAACGCUUGGGCUAGAGUAGUAUUGGGAUGGGUGACUGCCCGGGAAGUCUUAUUGUUUUACAUACC
rfam:Picea glauca, whole genome shotgun sequence.